CCUGGAAUUAGAGUGUGUCCGCCCGAGCGAGUGAUGCCUAAAACAUGCAAACAAAACUGAAGACCAGGAACUGGAACCUGGGAACCUGGAAGAUGAUGUUGUCCUGAAGGACACAAUUCAGGCAGCAGCAUGGUGCCAGUUACAGUCUUUCAAGGACAGCGUUUCUCUCCCAGAGGUCAUUGGGAUGGAAGGUUGGGAGCAGAUGGCAGCAUCAACACAGCGCAAAUCCCAUGACGGCGGGGAUGAGGAAGAAACGUGGAAACCAUUCCAAUUCUCAUUCAGAUUACAUACUGACUAUGAACUGUUUUGUGUGGAGAUGAUGGACAGGAGAAACCUGAAGGUGUUUGCCUCUUUUGAGUCAAACACCUCUCCCCCUCCCCCUCCCCGUGACGCCUGCGCCACACGACUCCAAUGUAGUCUGAUGAUGCAGCAUAAUGGCGACGCUUGGC
ensembl:lncRNA